rnacentral:rRNA from 1 species
CAGCGCAUCACGGACGAUCUCCACUCCCUGUUUUUUUAAUGAUACGGCGACCACCGAGAUCUACACUCUUUCCCUACACGACGCUCUUCCGAUCUGUAGCGGCGAGCGAACGGGGAGCAGCCCAGAGUCUGAAUCAGCUUGUGUGUUAGUGGAAGCGUCUGGAAAGUCGCACGGUACAGGGUGACAGUCCCGUACACGAAAGCACACAGGUUGUGAACUCGAAGAGUAGGGCGGGACACGUGGUAUCCUGUCUGAAUAUGGGGGGACCAUCCUCCAAGGCUAAAUACUCCUGACUGACCGAUAGUGAACCAGUACCGUGAGGGAAAGGCGAAAAGAACCCCGGCGAGGGGAGUGAAAAAGAACCUGAAACCGUGUACGUACAAGCAGUGGGAGCACCUUCGUGGUGUGACUGCGUACCUUUUGUAUAAUGGGUCAGCGACUUAUAUUCUGUAGCAAGGUUAACCGUAUAGGGGAGCCGAAGGGAAACCGAGUCUUAACUGGGCGUUAAGUUGCAGGGUAUAGACCCGAAACCCGGUGAUCUAGCCAUGGGCAGGUUGAAGGUUGGGUAACACUAACUGGAGGACCGAACCGACUAAUGUUGAAAAAUUAGCGGAUGACUUGUGGCUGGGGGUGAAAGGCCAAUCAAACCGGGAGAUAGCUGGUUCUCCCCGAAAGCUAUUUAGGUAGCGCCUCGUGAAUUCAUCUUCGGGGGUAGAGCACUGUUUCGGCUAGGGGGCCAUCCCGGCUUACCAACCCGAUGCAAACUACGAAUACCGAAGAAUGUUAUCACGGGAGACACACGGCGGGUGCUAACGUCCGUCGUGAAGAGGGAAACAACCCAGACCGCCAGCUAAGGUCCCAAAGUCAUGGUUAAGUGGGAAACGAUGUGGGAAGGCACAGACAGCCAGGAUGUUGGCUUAGAAGCAGCCAUCAUUUAAAGAAAGCGUAAUAGCUCACUGGUCGAGUCGGCCUGCGCGGAAGAUGUAACGGGGCUAAACCAUGCACCGAAGCUGCGGCAGCGACGCUUAGGCGUUGUUGGGUAGGGGAGCGUUCUGUAAGCCGUUGAAGGUGUGCUGUGAGGCAUGCUGGAGGUAUCAGAAGUGCGAAUGCUGACAUAAGUAACGAUAAAGCGGGUGAAAAGCCCGCUCGCCGGAAGACCAAGGGUUCCUGUCCAACGUUAAUCGGGGCAGGGUGAGUCGACCCCUAAGGCGAGGCCGAAAGGCGUAGUCGAUGGGAAACAGGUUAAUAUUCCUGUACUUGGUGUUACUGCGAAGGGGGGACGGAGAAGGCUAUGUUAGCCGGGCGACGGUUGUCCCGGUUUAAGCAUGUAGGCGGAGGUUCCAGGUAAAUCCGGUACCUUUUAACGCUGAGGUGUGAUGACGAGGCACUACGGUGCUGAAGUAACAAAUGCCCUGCUUCCAGGAAAAGCCUCUAAGCAUCAGGUAACAUCAAAUCGUACCCCAAACCGACACAGGUGGUCAGGUAGAGAAUACCAAGGCGCUUGAGAGAACUCGGGUGAAGGAACUAGGCAAAAUGGUGCCGUAACUUCGGGAGAAGGCACGCUGAUAUGUAGGUGAAGCCCCUGCGGGUGGAGCUGAAAUCAGUCGAAGAUACCAGCUGGCUGCAACUGUUUAUUAAAAACACAGCACUGUGCAAACACGAAAGUGGACGUAUACGGUGUGACGCCUGCCCGGUGCCGGAAGGUUAAUUGAUGGGGUUAUCCGUAAGGAGAAGCUCUUGAUCGAAGCCCCGGUAAACGGCGGCCGUAACUAUAACGGUCCUAAGGUAGCGAAAUUCCUUGUCGGGUAAGUUCCGACCUGCACGAAUGGCGUAAUGAUGGCCAGGCUGUCUCCACCCGAGACUCAGUGAAAUUGAACUCGCUGUGAAGAUGCAGUGUACCCGCGGCAAGACGGAAAGACCCCGUGAACCUUUACUAUAGCUUGACACUGAACACUGGUCCUUGAUGUGUAGGAUAGGUGGGAGGCUUUGAAGCGUGGACGCCAGUCUGCGUGGAGCCAACCUUGAAAUACCACCCUUUAAUGGCUGGUGUUCUAACGUAGACCCGUGAUCCGGGUUGCGGACAGUGUCUGGUGGGUAGUUUGACUGGGGCGGUCUCCUCCCAAAGAGUAACGGAGGAGCACGAAGGUUAGCUAAUCCUGGUCGGACAUCAGGAGGUUAGUGCAAUGGCAUAAGCUAGCUUGACUGCGAGAGUGACGGCUCGAGCAGGUGCGAAAGCAGGUCAUAGUGAUCCGGUGGUUCUGAAUGGAAGGGCCAUCGCUCAACGGAUAAAAGGUACUCCGGGGAUAACAGGCUGAUACCGCCCAAGAGUUCAUAUCGACGGCGGUGUUUGGCACCUCGAUGUCGGCUCAUCACAUCCUGGGGCUGAAGUAGGUCCCAAGGGUAUGGCUGUUCGCCAUUUAAAGUGGUACGCGAGCUGGGUUUAGAACGUCGUGAGACAGUUCGGUCCCUAUCUGCCGUGGGCGCUGGAGAAUUGAGGGGGGCUGCUCCUAGUACGAGAGGACCGGAGUGGACGCAUCACUGGUGUUCGGGUUGUCAUGCCAAUGGCACUGCCCGGUAGCUAAAUGCGGAAGAGAUAAGUGCUGAAAGCAUCUAAGCACGAAACUUGCCCCGAGAUGAGUUCU